rnacentral:rRNA from 1 species
UACAGAGGGGGCAAGCGUUGUUCGGAAUUACUGGGCGUAAAGGGCGCGUAGGCGGCCAUCUAAGUCAGACGUGAAAUCCCCCGGCUUAACCUGGGAACUGCGUCUGAUACUGGACGGCUUGAGUAUGGGAGAGGGAUGUAGAAUUCCAGGUGUAGCGGUGAAAUGCGUAGAUAUCUGGAGGAAUACCGGUGGCGAAGGCGGCAUCCUGGACCAUUACUGACGCUGAGGCGCGAAAGCUAGGGGAGCAAACGGG